rnacentral:rRNA from 1 species
UACGUAGGGGGCAAGCGUUGUCCGGAAUCAUUGGGCGUAAAGCGCGUGUAGGCGGCCAGGUAGGUCCGCUGUGAAAACCCGAGGCUCAACCUCGGGACGUCGGCGGAAACCCUCUGGCUAGAGUCCGGAAGAGGAGAGUGGAAUUCCCGGUGUAGCGGUGAAAUGCGCAGAUAUCGGGAAGAACACCCGUGGCGAAGGCGGCUCUCUGGGACGGUACUGACGCUGAGACGCGAAAGCGUGGGGAGCGAACAGG